UGCAGUGAUCAAAUGAACCUGCUAACUACAGACAUUGAGGUCCCUUUGAAACAAGAGGUAGCUUGGUAUAAAAACCUAAGCUUUACUGAAGACUGUCUUUUUACAAUGGAAACCAUUUUGAACAGCUGCUGCUGGACUACAAGAUGAGGUGGGAACAAUGCUUUCUCCAAAAGUUAUAAUUCUGGGAAGGCAAUAAUGAUGUGGAUCGUAGGGAUAGUCGUUGUAACCAGGGGAGAGACUUUUGAAGUGACCUGGGCAGAGAGGCAAGUUGCAGGAAGAGACAGGCCACCACAGGGACGAAGUAGCAACUAUCAAGAGACCCCAGUGGAGAGAGAGCUACUACUACACGCCCAGCCAUGAGGAG